rnacentral:rRNA from 1 species
AUUGAACGCUGGCGGCAGGCUUAACACAUGCAAGUCGAGCGGAGUGAUGGUGCUUGCACUAUUACUUAGCGGCGGACGGGUGAGUAAUGCUUAGGAAUCUGCCAUUUAGUGGGGGACAACAUUCCGAAAGGAAUGCUAAUACCGCAUACGUCCUACGGGAGAAAGCAGGGGAUCUUCGGACCUUGCGCUAAAUGAUGAGCCUAAGUCGGAUUAGCUAGUUGGUGGGGUAAAGGCCUACCAAGGCGACGAUCUGUAGCGGGUCUGAGAGGAGGAUUCGCAACACUGGGACGGGGACACGGCCCAGCCUCCUACGGGAGGCAGCAGUGGGGAAUAUUGGACAAUGGGCGGAAGCCUGAUCCAGCCAUGCCGCGUGUGUGAAGAAGGCCUUCGGGUUGUAAACCGCUUUUGUCAGGGAAGAAACGCUCUGGACUAAUACUCUGGGGUAAUGACGGUACCUGAAGAAUAAGCACCGGCUAACUACGUGCCAGCCGCCGCAGUAACAC